rnacentral:rRNA from 1 species
GCUGGUGGAUAUAGCGAAGUGGAAAUACCCAGAUCCAUACCGAACCUGGAAGUCAAGCACUUCUGCGCUGAUAAUACUGCACCUUUCAGGUGUGGAAACGUAGGCCUCUGCCAGCUCUUGAGUUUUU